rnacentral:sRNA from 1 species
CUUUACUCAUUCAAUAUAGUAUUUAAAGAAUUAUUUGAAUUACCUUUCUUCCUGCAGAAUAAUACUUUUCAACACCAUUAGCUUCAAAUGCAGCUUCUUGUGGCAAUUUUCGGUCUCAACGGCUUUCGCAGUAAUUGUCACCGGACUAUUACCGCCACCCCGGGCCAUCCGAUGGCAUUUCCAACCGGAAGCGCGUCCCAUCGAUUUGUCUCUGUCGCUGUCCUUCACUGGGUCCUGUCCUGUUCCGUUCUGAGCUGGCACAAUUUAGUGUUUAAGUAAUAUUUUGUUACUUCGGCGCGAUGCAGGAGAGAGUUACACUGGCUGGCUGCACAUAACUGGGUAAUUUAUAUUGGCCAUUUCGCUUUGAGUCGCACACACUCACGGUCGCAAAGUGCUUCUGCGACAAAGUAAAUUGUAAAAUGUCACCCAUAAAGCGUAAAUUGUAACAAAAAGCACUCGAGGCCACGCAGUGAUUUAAAUUUUGUCGUCUGUAGGCUCCGGCUGUAAAGUUAUGUGUAUCUGCGGCGUUGUACCCCGAAAAGCACAUCCUCCCUUCCCCAAUUUCCCCUUUCCCCUGCAUCCUUUCGUCCUGCAGCUCCAGGACCCAGCUGGUAAGGCCUUUCGUCCUUUCGGUCGGGACACUGGCACUUGGCAGCACUGGCGACAAGUUUUUUGGCCCGAUGCGAGCACACACAGUGUCCACAAUUUACACAAUUCAUAAUUCAUGCGCAAAUACUGCUCAUACAAUAUAUGGAUCGUCGGGCGAUUUCAGCAUUUCGCAGUCGCAGCUGCAGCUACAAACUUUAAUUAUAUCUGUAUCUAUGCGUGUGCGUUUUAAUUGAGUUUUGGUAUGCAAAACACUGGGCCAAAGUGACAAAUUGAUUAUCAAUUCGCAUGUUUUAUGGACACGGAUAGAGGGCUUUGGGUAUACAAAUAAAUAUAUUGAUUCCGAAUGCCUGAGCUGGCGAAUUAAAACCGGAAACAAUUCAUUUCACGCACUAUUGAGCCUGGGAACAAACCAUUUUUCUUCGCCGCAAUUUGAGCAAAUAUUAAUUUUUGCCCGCUCUUAUUCAUGAACCUGUCCGCCAAGUCUGGGAAUUUUCUUCUUCUUCGAAACUCCGUCUGUGACUGUGGCGGCAGAGUUUUCCCGCUGGUCCUUGCUCGCUUUUCGUUUGAGAGAAUGGAGGAAUGGCGGGGAAGAACACAAAAAUUCGCACUUUAUUCAUUUCCGUCCGACAUCAAAUGCUUUCCAUCUGCCGAGGCCAACGAUCUCUUUCCACUCUUGAUUCUCUGGACUCAGGACUCUGGAUUCCCGUCUCCGUAUUUCCGCAUUUUGUAUUCAUUAAUCAACUUUCAAAUCUUUCCACAACAAACGAAAGGCUGGCGUUCUGGGCGAAAUCCUCGCCGUAUCCUCGCAACCCGGGUGGCACUUUGCACUAAUUUGCGGCCGCAUCUCCCGACAGUCGCAACAAGCAGCGACAAGCUGUCCACUCGGCAGCAGGCUUUUCACUCCUCGCACCACCCAACCACCAGAUAAGCCACCCAUUGGCCCACCCACCUGCACGGCUUGUUUGUAUCAUUUACGCGCCGUGCAUCGAGUCGCGGCUCACACGGCGUAUGCGUGCUGGCUGGCCCAUCACUCAAUGGCAGCUGCAGAGUUGCAGUUAGUGGGCGUCAGUUUUCAUUUGCGUCAAUUGUUUGCAACUGGUUAAGGAUUCAGGAUGUCAGCUGGUGAGAAAUCGGGAUGCGCGCCGUCUUGCAGAGGGAACAAUAUAUGUUCCGAAGUAUGCAAUGUUCCUUUUGUAAUCCAAUUGUAAACAUUUAAUUUUAUAGAUUUAUUCCCUAUAAAUAGU